UUUUCCCGAGACCUCGCGGAGGCCAGAUUCGUUUUGGCCUCCAGGGCUCCGGGAGUGAUGCACGGCGGGUCUUACCCUCCAGCGCCUAUUGUGUGCCUGGUCCCUGCCGAGCACUCAGGCUUCUUAACUCCGGGCCUCCCUGCACCCACGUAGGGGCCGCAUACCUUUCCCAUUGGAAGACACUGGCCGGGAGUCACCAAGGCAUGCCAGCUUGAAGGGCUCGAAUCUCAGCUCUUGGCCUGCAAAAUGAACAAGGAGCCCCUGGAAACCACUGGUCCACCUUCUGUCUCUAGGAAUCUGACUACUCUCGGGGCCUCCUGAUUUAAAGAAUAAUCAAGACUACUUGCCUAACUUGAGCUUCCCCCUUCAGGAAGGAUCUUCGUACUGCUGGUGUGACAGAGGGCAUUGAGGCACUGUUCUAGAAACUAUCUCAGCAUCAAGACUCCCCCUCUGGGAAGACGGGGUACUGGAGGAGGGCCAGAAUGACCUCUCAGGGCCCAGCUGGCUCUGUGGGAUGCAGAGGGUGGACUUCAAGCUCUGCUGGCCACGCUGGAGGUCAUGGAAGAUGAUGUGUUAGCAACUUGGUUAAUUGCAUCAUGGUUUUCCCCUGUGACAGCACUGGGCCUAUGCCUUAGCGUCCCCAGCAGAUGACCAAGGGAGGGGACUAAAAUGGAAUGAAAACCUUCUCUGUGACAAGGUUUAACCCCUGGAAUUGGUUACUCUGAGAAGCCAUGGGCUUCCUUCCUUGGGCAGUUUCACAGCCCAUCACUGUGGCUUCUGGGAAUGACAUGGCACUGAGAACUCUUACCUCUCCUCCCAGCUCCUCUCCCUGAGAAAGCCCCCAGCUUCUCCCAGGCUUGGUGUUGGAAGUGAUUGUUCAUCCUCUCCCACUGGAAGCACUUCCUGGAAGGGCUUGGUAUAUUCCUCCAGAGA